rnacentral:rRNA from 1 species
GACGUAGGGCGCGAGCGUUGUCCGGAUUUAUUGGGCGUAAAGCGCGCGUAGGCGGCUACUUAAGUCGGAUGUGAAAGCCCUUGGCUCAACUGAGGAAGUGCACCCGAAACUGAGUGGCUUGAGUACUAAAGAGGGUCGCGGAAUUCCCGGUGUAGAGGUGAAAUUCGUAGAUAUCGGGAGGAACACCGGUGGCGAAGGCGGCGACCUGGGUAGAUACUGACGCUGAGGCGCGAAAGCGUGGGGAGCAAACAGG